rnacentral:rRNA from 1 species
UACGUAGGUGGCAAGCGUUGUCCGGAUUUACUGGGCGUAAAGAGCGCGCAGGCGGUCGAGUAAGUCGAAUGUGAAAGCCCCCGGCUUAACUGGGGAGGGCCAUUCGAUACUGUUCGACUUGAAGGCAGGAGAGGGCAGCAGAAUUCCCGGUGUAGUGGUGAAAUGCGUAGAUAUCGGGAGGAAUACCAGUGGCGAAGGCGGCUGCCUGGCCUGUUCUUGACGCUGAGGCGCGAAAGCUGGGGGAGCAAACGGG